UACGAAGGGGGCUAGCGUUGUUCGGAAUCACUGGGCGUAAAGCGCACGUAGGCGGGUCGUUAAGUCGGGGGUGAAAUGCCAAGGCUCAACCUUGGAACUGUCUUCGAUACUGGCGAUCUCGAGUCCGGGAGAGGUGAGUGGAACUCCGAGUGUAGAGGUGAAAUUCGUAGAUAUUCGGAAGAACACCAGUGGCGAAGGCGGCUCACUGGCCCGGUACUGACGCUGAGGUGCGAAAGCGUGGGGAGCAAACAGG
rnacentral:rRNA from 1 species